CGAAAGCGUUUUUAACAGCGCAAAACCCACUGUGAACAUACCUGUUUGUUGCUUCGGCAGGCGGCCCCAGGGCGGGGCCAGCAGCCUAUAUUUUUUUUCAGGCGCCUGCCGGAGGCCACUUCAAACUCUUUUGUAUACGUACUGUCUGAGCCUAAAACAAAAUACGUUAA
rnacentral:misc_RNA from 1 species